CGUGUGUGUAAUUUAAAAAAAAAUAUCAAGCUGUGACCUUGACAAUAGA
rnacentral:tRNA from 1 species